UAGUUCCAAUGUCAAGAAAGAGAUGAG
rnacentral:piRNA from 1 species